rnacentral:rRNA from 1 species
UACGAAGGGAGCUAGCGUUGUUCGGAAUCACUGGGCGUAAAGCGCACGUAGGCGGAUGUGUCAGUCAGGGGUGAAAUCCCGGAGCUCAACUUCGGAACUGCCUCUGAUACAGCACGUCUUGAGUCCGAUAGAGGUGGGUGGAAUUCCUAGUGUAGAGGUGAAAUUCGUAGAUAUUAGGAAGAACACCGGUGGCGAAGGCGGCCCACUGGAUCGGUACUGACGCUGAGGCGCGAAAGCCAGGGGAGCAAACGGG